rnacentral:rRNA from 1 species
UACGUAGGUGGCAAGCGUUGUCCGGAUUUAUUGGGUUUAAAGGGUGCGUAGGUGGUCUAUUAAGUCAGUGCUGAAAUAUCCCGGCUUAACCGGGAGGGUGGCAUUGAUACUGAUGGACUUGAGUAGAGUCGAGGAAGGCGGAAUUGACGGUGUAGCGGUGAAAUGCUUAGAUAUCGUCAAGAACACCUAUAGCGAAGGCAGCUUACUAGGCUCUAACUGACACUGAGGCACGAAAGCGUGGGGAGCAAACAGG